GGAAUGUGAUCGAAAAGUUAGAAAAAUAGCCGUUACCUCUUCCCAGGAGCUCGCAGCCAGCAAAGGUCCUUCCCUUCCGAGGGGAAGAGAAUUUCAACGCGGGAUUCGGCAGCCUCCUUGCGGCCCGGAAGACCGAAUAAACCUGCAUUUUUGGAAAAUCACCUUGACAACUUAGUGAAAGAUGCAUUAAAGUAGGAAGACACUUGAUUUGGGAGAUCAGUAGAAAGGAAGAAGAAAAUAAACAUUAUAAAUAUCAACUCAUUUGAUCCUCACAACAACCUUGUGAGCUCAGGCAGCCCGAGCUCUAGUCGCCACCACUGCCGCCAUCACAGCAGCAGCAGCAGCAGCAGCAUCCUCAUCCACAUCCGCAUUUUUAGCUGCCACACC
rnacentral:lncRNA from 1 species